AUCGAUUUUCCGGUUGAUCCUGCCGGAGGUCACUGCUAUCGGGGUUCGAUUAAGCCAUGCGAGUUGAGAGGGUUAAGACCCUCGGCGGACUGCUCAGUAACACGUGGAUAACCUGCCCUAAGGUGGCGGAUAACCCCGGGAAACUGGGGAUAAUACUCCAUAGGUUAAAGGUACUGGAAUGUUCUUUAACCGAAAGUUCCGGCGCCUUAGGAUGGAUCUGCGGCCGAUUAGGUUGUUGUUGGGGUAGUGGCCCAACAAGCCUGUAAUCGGUACGGGUUGUGGGAGCAAGAGCCCGGAGAUGGAAUCUGAGACACGAUUCCAGGCCCUACGGGGCGCAGCAGGCGCGAAAACUUUACAAUGCAGGAAACUGUGAUAAGGGAACCCCGAGUGCCCGUAUAUGCGGGCUGUCCGGAUGUUUAAAACGCAUCCGAAGAAAGGGCCGGGCAAGACCGGUGCCAGCCGCCGCGGUAAUACCGGCGGCUCGAGUGGUGGCCACUUUUAUUGGGCUUAAAGCGUUCGUAGCUUGAAUAAUAAGUCUCUUGGGAAAUCUGCAGGCUUAACCUGCAGGCGUUUAAGAGAAACUGUUGUUCUAGGAACCGGAAGAGGUGAGAGGUACUCCGGGGGUAAGGAGUGAAAUCCUGUAAUCCCCGGGGGGACACC
rnacentral:rRNA from 1 species